rnacentral:piRNA from 1 species
UCUCUGGUGAUUCUAUUGACAACAUGUC